rnacentral:snoRNA from 14 species
AGCUCAAUCUUAUAAAAAUUUACAGCCACUAUGGAAAUCAAUAGGGCAGUUUGUUGUGGACCAGAGCAUCCUAGAAACCUUGCCAGAGUUGUGCAAGGCCUUUUUGUUUAAGGUUUGUGCCUGCAGCGCUUCUGAACACGC